rnacentral:pre_miRNA from 1 species
ACAACAUUCAGACCGUCGGUCUAACGAGCAGUAUCACCACCUGCUAGAAGAUCUUCCCUUUGUCGU